UGGGGAAUCUUGCGCAAUGGGCGAAAGCCUGACGCAGCAACGCCGCGUGCGGGAAGAAGGCCUUAGGGUUGUAAACCGCUUUCAGUAGGAACGAAAAUGACGGUACCUGCAGAAGAAGGUGCGGCCAACUACGUGCCAGCAGCCGCGGUGACACGUAGGCACCAAGCGUUGUCCGGAUUUAUUGGGCGUAAAGAGCUCGUAGGCGGUUGAGUAAGUCGGGUGUGAAAACUCUGGGCUUAACCCAGAGCCGCCACCCGAUACUGCUCUGACUUGAGUUCGGUAGGGGAGCAGGGAAUUCCUAGUGUAGCGGUGAAAUGCGCAGAUAUUAGGAGGAACACCGGUGGCGAAGGCGCUGCUCUGGGCCGAAACUGACGCUGAGGAGCGAAAGCGUGGGUAGCAAACAGGAUUAGAUACCCCCGUAGUCC
rnacentral:rRNA from 1 species